rnacentral:rRNA from 1 species
AUUGAACGCUGGCGGCAUGCCUUACACAUGCAAGUCGAACGGCAGCACGGGGGGUAACCCCUGGUGGCGAGUGGCGAACGGGUGAGUAAUAUAUCGGAACGUGUCCUGUAGCGGGGGAUAACCUAUCGAAAGAUGGACUAAUACCGCAUACGACCUACGGGUGAAAGCGGAGGACCGCAAGGCUUCGCACUAUAGGAGCGGCCGAUAUCGGAUUAGCUAGUUGGCGGGGUAACGGCCCACCAAGGCGACGAUCCGUAGCUGGUCUGAGAGGACGAUCAGCCACACUGGACCUGAGACACGGUCCAGACUCCUACGGGAGGCAGCAGUGGGGAAUUUUAGACAAUGGGCGCAAGCCUGAUCCAGCCAUGCCGCGUGAGUGAAGAAGGCCUUCGGGUUGUAAAGCUCUUUCGGCGGGGACGAAACGGUUCGUGCUAAUACCCCGGACUACUGACGGUACCCGCAGAAGAAGCACCGGCUAACUACGUG